UACGGAGGGGGGCUAGCGUUAUUCGGAAUUACUGGGCGUAAAGCGCACGUAGGCGGCUUUGUAAGUCAGAGGUGAAAGCCUGGAGCUCAACUCCAGAACUGCCUUUGAGACUGCAUCGCUUUGAAUCCAGGAGAGGUGAGUGGAAUUCCGAGUGUAGAGGUGAAAUUCGUAGAUAUUCGGAAGAACACCAGUGGCGAAGGCGGCUCACUGAGCUGGUAUUGACGCUGAGGUGCGAAAGCGUGGGGAGCAAACAGG
rnacentral:rRNA from 1 species